rnacentral:rRNA from 1 species
UACGGAGGGGGCUAGCGUUGUUCGGAAUUACUGGGCGUAAAGCGCGCGUAGGCGGGUCUUUAAGUCAGGGGUGAAAUCCUGGAGCUCAACUCCAGAACUGCCUUUGAUACUGAGGAGCUUGAGUAUGGGAGAGGUGAGUGGAACUGCGAGUGUAGAGGUGAAAUUCGUAGAUAUUCGCAAGAACACCAGUGGCGAAGGCGGCUCACUGGCCCAUUACUGACGCUGAGGCACGAAAGCGUGGGGAGCAAACAGG